rnacentral:misc_RNA from 1 species
AGUUAGGUCAAAAACCCUAACUCAAAUUCACAAUCUCUUGCAAACACAUGCCAAUCAAUUUAAUUAUCAUAUAUACUCAUCAAUAACACUAAUAAACUCAAUUAAUUUCAUCAAACCUCAACUCAAUUCAUGGCUGGCAAAUUUUAGGAUUCCUACUUAUUAGUGGUUUUCUUUUGAUUUCAUGAAAUUUCAAGCUAAUUUAGAAUGCUUAUACUAAUUAAAGAAGAGUAAGGGUGUGUAUAGUGCAUUAA